CUCUUCCGAUCUCAAAAAACGGACGACAUGGCGCUCAUCCCCACCUAUAUGGGAUGAGAACGUCCAGAAUUAAAAUCACAAGGGUCCCACCGGAAGUGGAUCCUAUGUGGUUGUUGGCGGCAGUCCUAAUCAACCAGGAGGAGAAAAUUACUCCCCUCCAGGCUGCUGUCACCGAAAAAGCUAAUUGGACUGGUCAAACAGCCAAUCUCCUCAUUCAGGUGGAACCUAAAACAAUUGAAGCGAUUCCCGAGAAAACUGAAAUAGGGGAGGAGGCCUUCAUAGUGUUUGUUGAGGGUCGAAAACCCCGAUGAUUUUUGUGUGGCCAAUUAGGCCACAUUCGAAAGAAUUGCAAGGAAGGAGAGGAAGAGGAGAAAGAAGAAAAAAAGAGGAAAAAGAGGAAAAAUAAAAAGAAGAGAAGAAAACAACAAACAAAAG